CAUGUCUGAGGUCAGCCUCUCCUUGGAUGGGGCUUGCUGCAGCUGCUGUAGGUGAUGGGGAUGGGGCUCCUAGUCCAUUGGAGUUAUAUUCCCAGGGAGAUCCCUCUGCUGAGUCAUACAGGUUGCCAGGAAGUGAGGGAAAGCCAGCAGUCACGGGUUUCACCACACUCCCACACAGCCUGCGGUCCUAAAGGCCUAUCUCACUACCACCGUGAGCAACACGGAGUCAAUUUCCAGGAAGCCAGUGACCAGGUGCUGAGAAUUUGCCUCAGACCGCAAGCCGCCCCACUGAGAAAGCAAGCCGAUUCAGGUUUUCGGCGUCUCAGGGAGCCCGCAGCAGUGAUCUAGUUCCUUCAAAGGGUGUGUGGAUUUUCUCAGCUUUCCUGGUAUGUUGCUGUGGUAGUCACUGGAGCAAAAGUUCGUGAUGUGAAUCUUCACACGCUGCUCUGUCUGUCGGAGUGGGAGCUGCAAGCGAGUCCUGCCUCCUAUCCGCCAUCUUAACCCCUCAACCAAAGGACAAUCUGCCUUGCAGCACGUUUAUGGAUGAUAUGGAGUUCCCCUGCAAUGAAUAUGUGAACACUCUGUUCUUCAGGAUGGCACUUGGGAUGAUGUGGAGGUGGGCAGCAAAUUCGUCACUAAUUUUCCAGCAGCCAAUGAAAUAAAAGAAAACAAGGAUUUAAAAGAC